UAUCAAGCACAGCAAUAAAACAAAAACCCAUGUAUUUAACUUUUUUUAGGUUUUUUGCUUUUGUGAUUUUUUUUGAUACUUGCCUAACAUGCAUGUGCUGUAAAAAUAGUUAACAGGGAAAUAACUUGAGAUGAUGGCUAGCUUUGUUUAAUGUCUUAUGAAAUUUUCAUGAACAAUCCAAGCAUAAUUGUUAAGAACACACGUAUUAAAUUCAUGUAAGUGGAAUAAACGUUUUAUGAAUGGACUUUUCAACUACUUUCUCUACAGCUUUUCAUGUAAAUUAGUC
rnacentral:lncRNA from 1 species